rnacentral:rRNA from 1 species
CCCUUAGACGUUCUGGGCCGCACGCGCGCUACACUGACCAGUGCAACAAGCAUCCGUCCUUGGCCGACAGGCCCGGGCAAUCUUUGAACGCUGGUCGUGAUGGGGAUAGACUUUUGCAAUUUUUGGUCUUCAACGAGGAAUUCCUAGUAAACGCGAGUCAUCAACUUGCAUUGAUUACGUCCCUGCCCUUUGUACACACCGCCCGUCGCACCUACCGAUUGAAUGGUCCGGUGAAGCCUCCGGAUUGGCGCGCACCUCGGUGCCGCCGAGAAGUUGGCUAAACCUUACCAUUUAGAGGAAGGUGAAGUCGUAACA